GAUGAACGCUGGCGGCGUGCCUAAUACAUGCAAGUCGAGCGAACGGACGAGAAGCUUGCUUCUCUGAUGUUAGCGGCGGACGGGUGAGUAACACGUGGAUAACCUACCUAUAAGACUGGGAUAACUUCGGGAAACCGGAGCUAAUACCGGAUAAUAUUUUGAACCGCAUGGUUCAAAAGUGAAAGACGUUCUUGCUGUCACUUAUAGAUGGAUCCGCGCUGCAUUAGCUAGUUGGUAAGGUAACGGCUUACCAAGGCAACGAUGCAUAGCCGACCUGAGAGGGUGAUCGGCCACACUGGAACUGAGACACGGACCAGACUCCUACGGGAGGCAGCAGUAGGGAAUCGUCCGCAAUGGGCGAAAGCCUGACGGAGCAACGCCGCGUGAGUGAUGAAGGUCUUCGGAUCGUAAAACUCUGUUAUUAGGGAAGAACAUAUGUGUAAGUAACUGUGCACAUCUUGACGGUACCUAAUCAGAAAGCAACGGCUAACUACGUG
rnacentral:rRNA from 1 species